rnacentral:rRNA from 1 species
CACUCCUGCGGGAGGCAGCAGUGGGGAAUUUUGGACAAUGGGCGAAAGCCUGAUCCAGCAAUGCCGCGUGAGUGAAGAAGGCCUUCGGGUUGUAAAGCUCUUUUGUCAGGGAAGAAACGGUGAGAGCUAAUAUCUUUUGCUAAUGACGGUACCUGAAGAAUAAGCACCGGCUAACUACGUGCCAGCAGCCGCGGUAAUACGUAGGGUGCAAGCGUUAAUCGGAAUUACUGGGCGUAAAGCGUGCGCAGGCGGUUUUGUAAGUCUGAUGUGAAAUCCCCGGGCUCAACCUGGGAAUUGCAUUGGAGACUGCAAGGCUAGAAUCUGGCAGAGGGGGGUAGAAUUCCACGUGUAGCAGUGAAAUGCGUAGAUAUGUGGAGGAACACCGAUGGCGAAGGCAGCCCCCUGGGUCAAGAUUGACGCUCAUGCACGAAAGCGUGGGGAGCAAACAGGAUUAGAUACCCCGGUAGUCCCAUG